rnacentral:rRNA from 1 species
AUACGGAGGAUCCGAGCGUUAUCCGGAUUUAUUGGGUUUAAAGGGUGCGCAGGCGGGAGAUUAAGUCGGCGGUGAAAUUUUGCAGCUCAACUGUAAAAGUGCCUUCGAAACUGGUUUCCUUGAGUGUAGAUGAAGUAGGCGGAAUUUGUGGUGUAGCGGUGAAAUGCAUAGAUAUCACGAGGAACUCCGAUUGCGCAGGCAGCUUACUAAACUACUACUGACGCUCAGGCACGAAGGUGUGGGGAUCAAACAGGAUUAGAUACCCUGGUAGUCCACGCAGUAAACGAUGAUUACUAGCUGUUUGCGAUACAAUGUAAGCGGCUGAGCGAAAGCGUUAAGUAAUCCACCUGGGGAGUACGUUCGCAAGAAUGAAACUCAAAUGAAUUGGCGGGG